UACGAAGGGGGCUAGCGUUGCUCGGAUUUACUGGGCGUAAAGCGCACGUAGGCGGAUCGUUAAGUCGGGGGUGAAAUCCUGGAGCUCAACUCCAGAACUGCCUUCGAUACUGGCGAUCUAGAGUCCGGAAGAGGUGAGUGGAACUCCUAGUGUAGAGGUGGAAUUCGUAGAUAUUAGGAAGAACACCAGUGGCGAAGGGCGGCUCACUGGUCCGGUACUGACGCUGAGGUGCGAAAGCGUGGGGAGCAAACAGG
rnacentral:rRNA from 1 species